rnacentral:rRNA from 1 species
UACAGAGGGGGCAAGCGUUGUUCGGAAUUACUGGGCGUAAAGGGCGCGUAGGCGGCCUGUUAAGUCAGACGUGAAAUCCCUCGGCUCAACCGGGGAACUGCGUCUGAUACUGGCGGGCUUGAAUUCGGGAGAGGGAUGUGGAAUUCCAGGUGUAGCGGUGAAAUGCGUAGAUAUCUGGAGGAACACCGGUGGCGAAGGCGGCAUCCUGGACCGACAUUGACGCUGAGGCGCGAAGGCCAGGGGAGCAAACGGG